rnacentral:rRNA from 1 species
AGCGAACGCUGGCGGCAGGCCUAACACAUGCAAGUCGAACGAACCCUUCGGGGUUAGUGGCGGACGGGUGAGUAACACGUGGGAACGUGCCUUUAGGUUCGGAAUAACUCAGGGAAACUUGUGCUAAUACCGAAUGUGCCCUUCGGGGGAAAGAUUUAUCGCCUUUAGAGCGGCCCGCGUCUGAUUAGCUAGUUGGUGAGGUAAUGGCUCACCAAGGCUACGAUCAGUAGCUGGUCUGGGAGGAUGACCAGCCACAUUGGGACUGAGACACGGCCCAAACUCCUGCGGGAGGCAGCAGUGGGGAAUCUUGCGCAGUGGGCGAAAGCCUAACGCAGCCAUGCCGCGUGGAUGAUGAAGGUCUUAGGAUUGUAAAAUCCUUUCACCGGUGAAGAUAAUGACUGUAGCCGGAGAAGAAGCCCCGGCUAACUUCGUGCCAGCAGCCGCCGUAAUAC